rnacentral:hammerhead_ribozyme from 1 species
AUCCAACUGACGAGUUCCAAAUAGGACGAAACGCACGUCGUGGAU